rnacentral:rRNA from 1 species
UACGUAGGGGGCAAGCGUUGUUCGGAAUUACUGGGCGUAAAGGGCGCGUAGGCGGCAGGCCAAGUCGGGAGUGAAAGCCCGGGGCUCAACCCCGGAAUGUCUUUCGAAACUGGCCAGCUGGGAGUGCGGAAGAGGCAACUGGAAUUCCCAGUGUAGCGGUGAAAUGCGGUAGAUAUCGGGAGGAACAUCAGUGACGAAGGCGACCUGCCUGGCCCAA